rnacentral:rRNA from 1 species
UACAGAGGGUGCGAGCGUAAUCGGAUUUACUGGGCGUAAAGGGUGCGUAGGUGGUAAAGCAAGUAAGAUGUGAAAGCCCUGGGCUUAACCUAGGAAGUGCAUCUUAAACUGCUUAACUAGAGUAUGGUAGAGGGUAGUGGAAUUUCCGGUGUAAGCGGUGAAAUGCGUAGAGAUCGGAAGGAACGCCAGUGGUGAAGACGACUACCUGGACCAAUACUGACACUGAGGCACGAAAGCGUGGGGAUCAAACAGG